rnacentral:tRNA from 1 species
GCCCGAGUGGUGGAACUGGUAGACACACAGGACUUAAAAUCCUGUGAUUGGAAACGAUCGUGCCGGUUCGAUUCCGGCCUCGGGCA